AAAAAAAAAAGUAUAAUAAAAGUCUGACAAUGGAAAAACUGAAAAUUAAAAAUUGAAAAAUGAAAAAUAGAUAAAUGAAUAUGUUCUUCAAUUUUCCAAUUGGAAAGUUGGAAAACUAAGGAAUGGAGGAAAAAACUGGAAAAUGAACAUAGUAAAUGUUUUUCACAGCUAAACAAGGCCUAAAGGUUUAUUUAAGUGAUUUUAAAGCCCAACAUUAACUCCAAUUGAUUAGAAAGUACUGUAGAUUUUGAGCUUUUACCUGAGGUUUCUUGGGAAGUUAUUUAGUGCCAUAAAUGCUCAAAUUUUUUUUUUUUGUGUGGAGUUUAUGUUUGGUUUCCUACUAAUUGAGCAGAAGAAAGUAAUGUCACUUCAAUGUAUGUUUUGAAAUUCCUAGUAUAAUCAUAUUACUGAAUUUUUAAUGAUUGUUUUGCAGUCAAUUGAAACUUUCACAUCCAGAUCACAUGCUUGUCAAACGUUCAUCAUCUGCUGAAGAGAACUUUGAA
rnacentral:misc_RNA from 1 species